AGCAAUGCACUCAGACUCCUCUCUGCUGUGGAGAGCUUUUUUUUUUUUUUUUCAUAUUAAACUUUCACUCCAACUUUAUCUUUGUGUUUACAAUUCUUAAUUUUUUUGUCUUGGAUAAAGAACAAAAAACCUGGAGUACUUCUUCAGACAACAAGAAACUUCCAAAUUAAGGUGCAUUGGCAAGAAUGCAACAUAUUUUGAUCCAUUGGCUUGGAAGGAGGGAAUUCAUCAGAAGGAGUCAAGGACACUUGUCUUGAGCUAGCUACACCCUUUCACAACUCAGUAAGGAGUGAAGACUGAUUUUGCAGAGCCAAUAAAGGCCCCUGGGGAAACUGGCCUCAUAUCUUGUCAUGAAGAUUUUAUACAGGUUUCCUAACCUGUGGUGAGUAAAGAAUGUCCCUCUCUAACAGGUCUACCCCAUGCUCUUGGAACCUCAAGAAGAGACAAGUUUACCCAACUCACAGUGCUCACUGCUGCAAAGAAGAACAAGCACACAGGCAAAAAGUUUUCCCAGCAAGAAUGCCAGGGUGAAAGGAAAGAUCAAUUGGACCAGAGCACAAGUGCUGCUCCAGUUACUUGGCAGAGUACCUAAUAGUGAUCCACCACAAUACCACCAUAUAUCUGUUUGGGAAUAAACAAGGGCAAGUUGACUGCUUAAGAGUGAUGACAUGCAACUCAGUCUCUUGCAACACCACCUGAGAAAAGGAAGCACUAGCAGGAAGAACAAAUUGAUGGAGAGGAAAAGUGAUGAAUACAGAUAAGAAGCACAGCUGGUGGAGGCUCAUGUGCCAGUUUACUGGGCCUCAGGACAUUCUCCUCUAGAAGGAGGAGACAGCAUGACCCCCACUUUCUUUUAUUUUAUUAUAAUUUAAGUUUUAGGGUACAUGAGCACAAUGUGCAGGUUAGUUACAUAUGUAUACAUGUGCCAUGCUGGUGUGCUACAGCCAUUAACUCAUCAUUUAGCAUUAGGUAUAUCUCCUAAUGCUAUCCCUCCCCCCUACCCCUACCCCACAACAGCCCCCAGAGUGUGAUGUUCCCCUUCCUGUGUCCAUGUGUUCUCAUUGUUCAAUUCACACCUAUGAGUGAGAAUAUGUGGUGUUUGGUUUUUUGUCCUUGUGAUAGUUUACUGAGAAUGAUGAUUUCCAAUUUCAUCCAUGUCCCUACAAAGGACAUGAACUCAUCAUUUUUUAUGGCUGCAUAAUAUCCCAUGGUGUGUAUGUGCCCCAUUUUCUUAAUCCAGUCUAUCAUUGUUGGGCAUUUGGGUUGGUUCCAAGUCUUUGCUAUUGUGAAUAGUGCCGCAAUAAAUGUACGUGUGCAUAUGUCUUUAUAGCAGCAUGAUUUAUAGUCCUUUGGGUAUAUACCCAGUAAUGGGAUGGCUGGGUCAAAUGGUAUUUCUAGUUCUAGAUCCCUGAGAAAUCACCAAACUGACUUCGACAAUGGUUGAACUAGUUUACAGUCCCACCAACAGUGUUAGUCCAUUUACAUUUAAAGUUAAUAUUAUUAUGUGUGAAUUUGAUCCUGUCAUUAUGAUGUUAGCUGGUUAUUUUGCUCGUUAGUUGAUGCAGUUUCUUCCUAGCUUUGAAGGUCUUUACAAUUUGGCAUGGUUUUGCAGUGGCUGAUACCGGUUUUUCCUUUCCAUGUUUAGUGCUUCCUUCAGGAGCUCUUUUAGAGCAGUAAUCUCUCAGCAUUUGCUUGUCUGUAAAGUAUUUUAUUUCUCCUUCACUUAAGAAGCUUAGUUUGGCUGGAUAUGAAAUUCUGGAUUGAAAAUUCUUUUCUUUAAGAAUGUUGAAUAUUGGCCCCCACUCUCUUCUGGCUUGCAGAGUUUCUGCCAAGACAUCAGCUGUUAGUCUGAUGGGCUUCCCUUUGUGGGUAACCUGACCUUUCUCUCUGGCUGCCCUUAACAUUUUUUCCAUCAUGUCAACUUUGGUGAAUCUGACAAUUAUGUGUCUUGGAGUUGCUCUUCUUCAGGAGUAUCUUCAUGGCAUUCUCUGUAUUUCCUGAAUCUGAAUGUUGGCCUACCUUGCUAGAUUGGCGAAGUUCUCCUGCAGAGUGUUUUCCAACUUGGUUCCAUUCUCCGCAUCACUUUCAGGUACACCAAUGAGACGUAGAUUUGGUCUUUUCACAUAGUCCCAUAUUUCUUGGAGGCUUUGUUCGUUUCUUUGUAUUCUUUUUUCUCUAAACUUCCCUUCUUGCUUCAUUUCAUUCAUUUCAUCUUCCAUCACUGAUACCCUUUCUUCCAGUUGAUUGCAUCAGCUCCUGAGGCUUCCUCAUUCUUCACGUAGUUCUCAAGCCUUGGCUUUCAGCUCCAUCAGCUCUUUUAAGCACUUCUCUGUAUUGGUUAUUCUAGUUAUACAUUCGUCUAAAUUUUUUUCAAAGUUUUCAACUUCUUUGCCUUUGAUUUGAAUUUCCUCCUGUAGCUCGAAGUAGUUUGAUCGUCUGAAGCCUUCUUCUCUCAACUCGUCAAAAUCAUUCUCCAUCCAGCUUUGUUCCAUUGCUGGUGAAGAAUUGCGUUCCUUUGGAGGAGGAGAGGCGCUCUGCUUUUUAGAGUUUCCAGUUUUUCUGCUGUGUUUUUUCCCCAUCUUCGUGGGUUUAACUACUUUUGGUCUUUGAUGAUGGUGAUGUACAGAUGGGUUUUUGGUGUGGAUGUCCUUUCUGUUUGUUAGUUUUCCUUCUAACAGACAGGACCCUCAGCUGCAGGUCUGUUGGAGUUUUCUAGAGGACCACUCCAGAUCCCGUUUGCCUGGGUAUCAGCAGCGGUGGCUGCAGAACAGCAGAUUUUCAUGAACCACGAAUGCUGCUGUCUGAUGGCUCCUCUGGAAGUUUUGUCUCAGAGGAGUACCUGGCCAUGUGAGGUGUCAGUCUGCCCCUACUGGGGGGGUGCCCCCCAGUUAGGCUGCUCGGGACCCCCAAUUUGUUUGUGUAUCUCAGGGUGAGUUUGUGCCAUUUUCUGUUAGCCUUAUUGGUCUCUGUGUCUGUGGUGCACUUCAUUCAUCAGCGUCUGUGUUUGUUUGCAUUUUUUACUUGUCUCUCCAUCUAUUUCUCUGAUUUUGUUACAUUUUACAUUUUAAGUUUCAUUAUAUUUUCCAUUCACAUAUUAUACAUGCACAACUAUAUGGCAGACCAUGUUAUUUUAAAACAUGCAUACAAUAUACCAAAUAAUGGUAUUUAUUCAUCUCCUCUAAUGUUCCUCGUGAUUAGAACCCUAGGAAUUCUCUCUUCUAUUUAGAAAUAUAUAAUGCAUUGUUAUUAAAAAUAGUGACCCUGCUGUGCAAUGGAAUACCAUUGCUUCUUUUUUUUCAAUUUAACUACUUUUUUUGUAUUUAUUUACCAACUUCUUCCUAUCCCUACAUUUCUAAUUCUUUCUAGACCCCCAUAACCACUAUUCUUCCCUAUAAUUCUAUGAGAAAAUUUUUUAGAUUCCACAUAUAGGUCAGAUAAUGUGUUAUUUUUAUUCCUACACCUAGGUUAUUUUGCUUAGUUACAUGUAAAGGAAUAUACAUGGUAUGUGGCAUGGCAAAUGAUAAAAGUUCAUUUUUAAUAGAUAUAUACUAUUUCAUUGUGUGUGUGUGUACAUAUACCACAUUUUAAAUUCAUUUGUCUGUUUAUGAACAUCCAGGUUUAAUAUUGUAUUGUUCAUGGUGAAUAGUGCUGUAAUAAACAAAAAAGAGCAAAUAUUUAUUUGACAUGCUAAUUUUCUUUCCCUUGCCUACAUACUCAGUGGUGCAGAUUGUUCAGUCAUGUGGAAACUUUCAUGUAAAUUUUUUAGAGAUCUACAGAAUGUCUUCCAUACUGAUUCUACUAAUUUACAUUCCAUCCAAGAGGAUGUUUUGUGCAGUUCCCCACUUUUCUUUUCUCCACAUCCCUGGCAAUACUUGUUAUUCUUUUGCAAUUUUUAGUUAUAUCCAUUAUUAUUCUAAUAGAUUCACUGAGCUGAAAGGACUUGUCAUAUUUUCUUAUGGGUUUUCCUGGCAUUUCUCCAAUAAAAAUUAUGUUGAACUUUUAUUUAGAAAUGUGUUGGAAGUAUCUGUGUCAUUUUUGGAGAAAUGUCUAUUUACAUCUUUUGAACAUUUUUAAUUAGAAAAUUUUUGGCUAUUGUUUCUUAUUUGUUCUGGAUACUAAGUUUUUUUCUUUUUUUUCCUUUUGUUUUGGAGAUGGAGUCUUACUCUGUCACCCAGGCUGGAGUGCAGUGAUGCAACCUUGGCUCACGGCAACCUCUGCUUCCCAGAUCAAACGAUUCUCCUACCUCAGCCUCCUGAGUAGCUGGGAUUACAGGUGUGUGCCACCACACCCA
rnacentral:lncRNA from 1 species